rnacentral:rRNA from 1 species
UGCAGUCGAGCGGAGAUGAGGUGCUUGCACCUUAUCUUAGCGGCGGACGGGUGAGUAAUGCUUAGGAAUCUGCCAUUUAGUGGGGGACAACAUUCCGAAAGGAAUGCUAAUACCGCAUACGUCCUACGGGAGAAAGCAGGGGAUCUUCGGACCUUGCGCUAAAUGAUGAGCCUAAGUCGGAUUAGCUAGUUGGUGGGGUAAAGGCCUACCAAGGCGACGAUCUGUAGCGGGUCUGAGAGGAUGAUCCGCCACACUGGGACUGAGACACGGCCCAGACUCCUACGGGAGGCAGCAGUGGGGAAUAUUGGACAAUGGGCGGAAGCCUGAUCCAGCCAUGCCGCGUGUGUGAAGAAGGCCUUUUGGUUGUAAAGCACUUUAAGCGAGGAGGAGGCUACCUAGAUUAAUACUCUGGGAUAGUGGACGUUACUCGCAGAAUAAGCACCGGCUAACUCUGUGCCAGCAGCCGCGGUAAUACAGAGGGUGCGAGCGUUAAUCGGAUUUACUGGGCGUAAAGCGUGCGUAGGCGGCUGAUUAAGUCGGAUGUGAAAUCCCUGAGCUUAACUUAGGAAUUGCAUUCGAUACUGGUCAGCUAGAGUAUGGGAGAGGAUGGUAGAAUUCCAGGUGUAGCGGUGAAAUGCGUAGAGAUCUG